AUUGUACUACCUCCGUUCCAUAAUUCUCGUCGAAAUAUUACAUGUAUCUAGACACCUUUUAGGAAUAGAUACAUCCAUUUUUAGGCAAAUUUGAGACAAGAAUUAUGAAACGGAGGGAGUAGUAC
rnacentral:pre_miRNA from 1 species